GCCGCCGCCGCCGCCGCCGCCGCCGCCGCCGCCGCCGCCGCGCUCUCGGCCCAGGCCCGGCUCCGGGAGCGGCCCUCCCGGAUGCGGCACCUGGGGUGGGGUCGCUGGGGCCCCGAGGCCGCGCGCACCCCUGCCCUCCACCCCGCCCACAUCCGUUUUAGGUCCAGGUUCCCUUGGACCUUGCUCAAGCCCGGGGCCCUCCUGGGAGACCCUUUCUCUCUUUGGCCCUUCGCCCAGGACCUAAGGACCCCUCCCUUCCCCCCAUUUCCGACGCGGGAGAGAGCACGGCAGCCUUGACAACAAUCCUGCAACAUAGGCAUGGUUGCCACUGCCAUAUUACAGACAGGAGAAGGGAGGCAGCAAGGCGCAGAGAGACUGAUCUACCCAAGGCCACCAAGAUAGUGAGUGUCAAGGUCCAGACUCCAUCUUGGCUCCACCUGCCUCAAAGCCCCUGCUUGUAACCAGCACUCUGCCUUGCUUUCCCGGGUGCUGUGGGCAUCCAGAGGGUGAGCCUCUUUCACACUACCAGAACAAUUUUGGUACUUUUCUUUUUUUUUUAAUGGGUAAGUACUUUGGGUAUGUUUGUUUGUGAACUAUAGAUAUAUAUCUCACUUUACUGAGGUAUGACUGACAUACAAAAAGCUAUACGUAUUCAAUGUAUACAAAACCUGAUGAGUUUAGGGAUGAGUUUAUACCCGUGAAACCAUCACCACCAUCAAGGCCAUAAAUACAGACAUCGCCUCUGGACGUUUCAUCCAGCCCCCUUUAUUAUUAUUAUGAUUUGUGUUUGGGGAUGUGGUAAGAAUACUUAACAUAAGAUCUACCCUCUUAGCAAACUUUAGUGUACAGUAUGGUAUUGUUAGCUAUAGAUACUAUUCUGUAUGGUAGAUCUCUAGAACUUAUUUAUCUUAGUUAACUGAAACUUUGUAUUCUUUAUCAUCAUUUUGUCACUUCUGUUUCCCCUCUGUCCCCAUUGUGAGAAAGGGCCUAAAGCAUUAACCAGAGUUCCCCUGGCCACAGUGAAAUAACCCCAUCCGUUCCUGAAUAGGAGCUUUUGUAUGAGUUUGGGUAACUUUCAAGAGUGAAAAUUAACCAAAGUUAAGAAUAGCCCAACUCCCUGGAGUGUCUCCAGGCAUGGGCCUGGGUGAGAUUCUCCUGUUCCUCUGCAGGCAGCUCGCUCUGGCGGCACAUUAAGGAACUGGGCCUGCUCACUUCCCCAGAGAUGGGGAGGAGAGGACAGUGGGGAAGGAAAGAUGCUGGAAGGGAAAGAAACUUCAAGGUGGGGACCCUCUAGAGAAGGUUAACUAUAAGAAGUCAUGCAAACAUACAACCCAUCAGCAACUUGGGAACUUCAUUCUGAUAUGAAUAAAGUCAUAAAAUGCACACACCAAAGCCCAUAAAUAUAACACAUGGUACCACAUUCUCAUAAUGGCAGCUGGACCUCCUGCGAAGUGGAGGAGGUCCCAUGAAUGAGGUGCACAGUGGGGUCUCCAUCCUGGUGUGGUGACUGUGUACUGACCCAGCAUCCAGCUAGUGCCUUCAUAAUGCUUAUAGUCUUAAGGUCUGGCUGGAUGACCUUGGGAAACUUCUCUGUGCCUCAGUUUCCUUUUUUGGGAAAUGACAGUAAUAAUAGUACCUGUCUCAUAGGAUUGUUCUGAAGAUUAAAGGAGGUAAUGUGUAGGAAUCUAGAUCAUUCUUGUUUACAUCAUAGGUUAUGAAAAUGAACCUCCAAAUUCCCAAAUGUGAGCCUCAUAUGCCCAGAGUGGCAGGAAAUUCAAUUCCACCCCAGCCUUCAUAAUGCACCCUCUUCCUGAUAGGCCCAACAAUCUCCCAGGGUGCUAGGUUUUGUUCAAAGAGCCAGAUGGAGCCAGAACUCAGGUGGGGUCCCCUGAGGCCAGCGCCCUCAUCCUCCCCUUUUCCAGAGGAUGAGUGAGGCAGCUCCCCACUUUCACAGCUCUUUCAGGAUAACCUUGCCCAGACCCAGGGCUGGAUGAUCCAAGCACAGGACACACACAUAAACCCCUGCAAUCUCUUAAUAAGAGCAUACGAGUAAACCAGAUGUCACUUUCAAAACUAAAACGUGUUCUUUUUGUUUGAAAUGACCUCUGAGGAAGCACCAUAGUCUGUCUGGUGCUUAAGGAUUCCUGGGGAUCUUGAUCUAGCCUCGCAGACAGUCAUUUGUCCCAAGGCACUCACAGAGCCAAGGUUUUGGGUCAGGAGAGGUUUCAACCCACAUGCUGGGUCCAGGACAUGUGGGGCUGAAAGGACUUCUGAGUCCUUAGCCCUGGAGGCAAAGGAGGUCUCCUCACCUCCCAGUCCUUCCCCCAGGAUGCAUUCCAUUCCUUUCACCUGUGAAGUGUUCAACACACUUUUUGGCACAUACCAGGUGUAUUAGUUUGCUGGGGCCCCAUAACAAAGUACCACAAACCGGGUGGCUCAAAAGGGAAAUUUAUUGUCUAACAAUAAUAUACAUCUUUGUUUACUAAAUAAUUAGCUCUGUUACGUGAACCAUAAAAAUCACGAUUCUCAGAUCAUUAUAUCAGAGGAACAAGAAUGUUUCUGAAUUCUUAUAAUCUGAAUUUUGAUUGAGGAUCAUUGAAGAUCCACAAUUAAGCCAUUGUUAAUUAAUAAAAGUGAAUGGUUCUUAAUGUGUUAAAAAAAUAAAAAAGAAGUCCAAGGAGUUGGCAGGGCAUGCUCCCUCCGAAACCUGUAGGGGAGGAUCCUUCCUUGACUGUUCUAGCCUCUGGCUGUGGCCACCAAUCCUUGGUGUUCCAUGGCUUGCAGCUGCAUCUCUGCCUUUUCUGUCACAUGAUGUUCUCCCUGUGUGUCUGUGUGAGUGUCCAAAUUUCCCUCUUAUUAUAUGACAUUAGUCAUAUUGGAGUAAGGGCCCACCCUACUGACCUCAUCUUAACUUGACUACAUCUGCAAAGACCCUAUUUCCAGAUAAGGGCGUAUUCAUAAGUACCAGGGGUUAGGACUUGAACAUAUGUUUGGGGGUGACACAAUUCAAUCCAUAACACCAGUUAUUCAGAAAAUGCCAGCUAUGAUGAUUAUUAUCCAAGCAUGCACAGCAUGCACAUGGCACCUGCAAGCAUGCUAAAAAUACCACUCUCAGCCAUGCCUUGUGUCGAGCCUGUUGUAUACAGGUGACCAUCCAGCCGCCUGCCUUUAGUCUUGGGAGAGCUUAAUUCCGAAAGGGUUGUUGAGGGACAAGGUGGCUUUGGGACUGGUAAUGAGCUCCUCCUGGGCUUCAUCAUUGUUCUUCUAAAUAAGUAAUUCAUCUUCUUCCUUGCUGUUUACAUCCUUCACAUAUUUGUAGAUGGUUAUCCUGUCCCUUUAGUCAUUACUUAGCACCACUCUACAUAUUUGCCAUGGUGUUGAGUGUGUGCUCUCCUCAUUGUCAUGAUUAGUAUUAUUAUUUCCUCCUGGCCCACUCCCUGGGUCCCUCAGCCACCAUCACCACUGUGUGAAUCUCCUUCAGGUCCCCAGACUUUCAAGUAACAAGUUUCUUGGCAUGGAACAUUAGAAGUCAGUAGUGGUGACAAGGGAUGCUUGCAGGCCCUCUGGCCCCCUACUCCUCUGUCAUUUUUGUCAGUUUCCCCAAAGCCACAUCAAAUAAAUAGACAAGCUAAGUAAAAACAAUGUGCUUACAGUGCAAAUACUGUUUCCAGACAAAUCUCCCUGUCCCUGGUUUCAUCCGGAUAAUCUCAAUUUCUUCAACUAUAAAAUAAGGAUAAGAAUUCCCGCUCUCAGCAACCUGGGAUUACUGUGAAGACUACAUGAGGAAGAGAGUGGAAAAGUGCUUUGUAAACCACAAAGCAGGGGGGGUGGCAGUACCAGCAAUGCCUUCAACAUACGAUUAGAUUUCUGCAGAAAGUUCCAGGGGUCAGCUGUUCUGAAAAGCUAGAAAUUCUAAGUUACAAUUUACAAAAUGAACUUGAUAGAACUGAGAUUCACCCUAAAAUCUGUUUGUUGAAAGAAUAUGGAGAUGCCCUACUUCAAAAUCUACUAUUAGAUUUUAGUAUUCCAAAAAAAGUGUGGAACUCAGAGCUGGAUGGGCCCUUGGAGACAUGUUACAGAUGGCCCUGAGGAGGCUUUGGAAGGUUAUGCUGCUAUAAAAGAUUUUUUUUUUAAUCCACCUUGUCUUCCAUUUCAGAUCUCACUGAAGAGUUCUUCUGUACCCAGAAGACUUAUUUUCAGUCUGAGAAGAAUGAUUUUCAAUGGUUCUGUUGAACAUGCAAUUCUCAUGCAAGUAUUUCUAUAAUUACCCUGUUUCAGUUAUAAUACAGUUUCUGGAACAAUAGGACUUUUAUUAUAUUGCCAUAUCUGUUAUAAUAGAUGUUUUAUUACAGAAAAUUAUGGUAGAGUCACUAUUAUGAUUCUGAAGUUUUUAUUUCAAAUUGUUCAUAGGAUGGAAAUUCUUUCUCCCAAGUAGUUUUUACUUUAAUGGUGCUUUGAGCUUUUUGGGUUUUUUAAACUUUUUUGGGGAUUUUGUUCAAUGGCAGAAUGUGUUCUUUUGCUCCAGUACAUACUGUGGAUGAAAAGUUACCCCUGGUGUUUGUUUGUUUGUUCUUAGCAUGUGGUGCACAGAAAUUUUUUUUUAAAUGCCAUCUAGAUUGUUCUAUAUAUAUCUGCAUACAUUAGCCUGCUCAGGCUGCCGUAGCAAAUACCACAGACUGAGUGGCUCAAACAACAGAAAUUUAUUUCUCACAGUCUGGAGGCUAGAAGUCUAAGAGCAAGGUGCUGGCAAAGAUAGGUUUCAUUCUGAGGCCUCUUUUCUUGGCUUGCAGGCAGCUGCCAUCUUGUUGUGUGCUCAUAUGACCUCUUCUAUGUACAUGCAGGGAGAGAGAACAAGCUCUCUACUAUCUCCUCUUAUGAGGACACUAAUCCUAUCAGAUCAGGGCCCCACCCUUAUGACCUCAUUUAACCUUAAUUACCUCCUUACGGGCCCCAUCUCCAAACACAGUCACAUUGGAGGUUAGGACUUCAACACAUGAAUCUGG